rnacentral:rRNA from 1 species
GACGAACGCUGGCGGCGUGCCUAAUACAUGCAAGUAGAACGCAGUUGCGCACGGGGGAGUAACGCGUAGGUAACUGCCUCAAUGCGGGGGGUAAAUAUUGGAAACGUUAGCUAAUACCGCAUACUGGGAGAUGGAUCUGCGUUGUAUUAGGUAGUUGGUGGGGUAAAGGGUCACCAAGGCGACGAUACAUAGUCGACCUGGGAGGGUGAUCGGGCCAACUGGGACUGGGACAAGGGCCAGACUCCUACGGGAGGGAGCAGGAGGGGAAUAUUGGCAAUGGGGGGAAGUCCGACCGAGGAAAGGCGCGUGAGUGAAGAAGGUUUUCGGAUCGUAAAGCUCCGUUGUUAGAGAAGCGGUAACUAACCAGAAAGGGACGGCUAACUACGUGCCAGCAGCCGCGGUAAUAC